UAGACAGAUUAUUGUAUUCAACUGUAUUCGACUGUAUUCACGGCGUGAAAUAGGAGAUUAUACUAUUUUAAAAUAGAAAGUGAAUCAAUUAACAUAAUAGACUCCU
rnacentral:pre_miRNA from 1 species